UGGGGAAUAUUGCACAAUGGGGGAAACCCUGAUGCAGCCAUGCCGCGUGUGUGAAGAAGGCCUUCGGGUUGUAAAGCACUUUCAGCGAGGAGGAAAGGUUGAUGCCUAAUACGUAUCAACUGUGACGUUACUCGCAGAAGAAGCACCGGCUAACUCCGUGCCAGCAGCCGCGGGAAUACGGAGGGUGCAAGCGUUAAUCGGAAUUACUGGGCGUAAAGCGCACGCAGGCGGUUGGAUAAGUUAGAUGUGAAAGCCCCGGGCUCAACCUGGGAAUUGCAUUUAAAACUGUCCAGCUAGAGUCUUGUAGAGGGGGGUAGAAUUCCAGGUGUAGCGGUGAAAUGCGUAGAGAUCUGGAGGAAUACCGGUGGCGAAGGCGGCCCCCUGGACAAAGACUGACGCUCAGGUGCGAAAGCGUGGGGAGCAAACA
rnacentral:rRNA from 1 species